GGUAUGACGCGUUAGGCCCCUGCAAUGCGGGGUGACCCCUGAUAGACUGGAGCCCUAUUGGUUACGCCCAUUCCACCAGCCUGGGCCUCCUCACCCUGUCCUGCUGCUGUGGCCCUCAAGGCUGCUCUGGCAGGCAAAGGAAGGGCCACACCCAGCUGCAGGCACAGACUGAAGUCAACUCUGUGUGAGAGGAGGAGGGUGCAACAGGGGAAGCAUCAUGAGUCAAGUCCUGGCACAGUCAAAGAACUGAGAUAAUCCGGACUGGUGAGAUCAGCAAUGGACACCAACAGUGGAUCACAGGUGUUGAAGACAGAAAGCAAUGGAGACUGCAUUCCUGCCACCUCAGAUACAGAUACUGUUCCAGCCAUAUUAACUCCUUGCUCAGUGUAUGAGAACUUAAUAAUUCAAAGAUAUCUUGACACUGGUGCCAGGAGAAAGCGUGAAGAGAGGACAUAUUUAAAAUGGAGUCUGAGUUAGAAGAAUGCUCUGGGAAUACAAACUGUUCAGUUGGAAGUAUCAUCAAAAGGGCCAUGAAGGUUUGACUUAGUAUUUUAUAAAUUUACAAAGCUUUUCCAUAAAGCCAUGAAAGCUGUAACUGUUUAUCUCUUACCCUCCUUUUAGUUUUUUCUUCUUUGGAGUAUCUUCUUCUGAUGUUCGCCUGCCUCGACCCCGGGAACCUCUCUUGUCCUUUUGACUUCGUCCCUCUGAAAGCCAGAAUUAUUUCAAAUUAAGGGCACCCCAGAAAAAGCGUUGGAUGCUUUUUUUGUGUGCACCUAUUAUUUUAAACUUCUGUUUUGCAGACCCUUUAUGUACAAGGCUCUUUGGAUAUUAAAAAUAUGUAUGAUUUACACAUACUAUAUCACACACAGUGCCAACUUCUGUUCUGGAUUGCAGCUUGUUCAGCCCCAUAACACAAGUCAAUAGAGUUGCACAGGAGUCACCUGGAACUUGGCCUGGUACUGUAUAUUCAACGAAUCAUGUAGUAAAAGAGUGCUUUAAAAAUACACUCAACAUCUUCCCAUCCGAGGACUAUGCGUUGUUAAUCAGGGUGCAACAUACACAUGCCAUCACCAGCACCCACUAAACAGACCUCAAAACCACGUCCUCAGUAAUUUAAAGGAGAGAAAAGUUGUACAGCAUUCAUUGUUUACUGUACUUAAUUUGGCUUUUUGCCAUUUAAAAUUUCUAAUCUAUAUUAAAGAAACAGGAAUUUUCCUUUAACGCUUAAAAUUUCCUACUGUCAUCAGGUUACAUUGGACUCUUAAGUCAGAAAUAAAAUCCUAACAUUAUUUUAAUUAAUAUUUUUCCUUAAUGAGAAAAUCUUCCUCUCCCACCACAAUGUCUUUUACUUCUCAAGGCAAGGCACAGCUGAUGCAAAGUUUGUUCAACUCAGAGUAGACUCUUUAGUUUCAAAGUUUUAAGAGCUACAGACUGUGGAUACCACUUUUGCCACCACAGCUCAACUUCAUUUGUAGCAGUGCUUAUAACCAAUGACUUACAGAAAGGACUAUUUCAGGAUGUGCUGACUCAGCGAGGCAAGGGACCAGCUUCCAGCAAGAAAGGUUAAGAGGGCUCUAAACUAGAUUCUUUCUUCCUCUGCCCACCAAAUGGUGGCACCUUGUCAAAAUGACCUAAACUUUUUAAAAGCAUUAAAUAAAAUAAAAAAACACACACCAAAGCUUCAAAAGAAAGUAAUGUAUGCUCCAUCACAGCCCGUCUGCUCUACACUGGAUAUGCAUAUUUUACAGCAAGGUUUGCCAGCACUGAGCGAGAUGGUGUGGUCACAUUAAAAAUAACUCACGCACUUUUCAG